UCAGUUUAAUAUUAUUAUAAUUAUUUGUAUUUGUUUUUAAUAAAAUUAUUUUUAUUCUAAGUAUUUAUAGAAAAGAUAUUUUUUAAUUUUUUAACUGUGAAGGUUAUUUUAUUUUGUCAAUAAAGUAUUUUUUAUUUAAAGUACCUUUUGCAUCAGGGUUUAUUAAAAUAAAAAAAUUAUUUUUUUUUCUCGAAGUCUUAAGAUUUAAUAAUAUAUGUUUUUCCUUGUUUCAACAUGGUUUAUAAUAUAUUUUUAGAGGUUAUAUGCUUUUCAUUUAAGAUAAUAUCUAGUUUUUUAAUAAAUGAAUUUAAUUCAGGAUUAUUUUAGCUUUAUUUUAAUUUUAUUAUUAAAAGUUAUUUAUUCUAAUAUUUCUGGGGAUAAUCUCAGAUUUAUUUUUAAAAGAUUUAUUUUUAAGAUUAUUUUUAGGAUCAAAAAUUUCCAUUUUUAUUUUGUUAUAAUAAUUUUUCUUUAAUUGAGAUUUUUUUUUCUUUAAUUUUUUAUUGAAAUUUUUUAAAAACUUUGUUUUUUAUUAAUAAUGAUAAAAUUAGUAAUUUUGUAAAUUUAGUAAUUGGAACUCGGCAAUUAUUAUUUUCACCUGUUUAACAAAAACAUGGUCUUUUGUAUUUUUUAUAAGAUCGGACCUGCCCAUUGAUUGAUAUUAAAAGGCUGCGGUAUUUUAACUGUACGAAGGUAGCAUAAUCAUUUGUCUUUUAAUUGAAGGCUCGUAUGAAUGGUUUGAUGAAAUAUAGACUUUCUUUUAUUAAUUUAAUUGAAUUUAAUUUUUUAGUUAAAAAGCUAAAAUUUUUUUAUAGGACGAGAAGACCCUAUAGAAGUUUACUAUUUAUUUAAUUUUUAAUUUUUUGUUUAUAAAAUUACUUUUUAUUAUGCAUAGUUUUGUUGGGGUGACAUUAAAAUUUAUAUAACUUUUAAUUUUUAUUUCAUUAAUUUAUGUUUUUUUGAUCCAGAAUUUUUGAUUAAAAGAUUAACUUACCUUAGGGAUAACAGCGUAAUUUUUUUGGAGAGUUCUUAUCGAUAAAAAAGUUUGCGACCUCGAUGUUGAAUUAAGAUUAGAAGUGGGCGUAAAAUUUCAUUUUUCUUGGUCUGUUCGACCAUUAAAUUCUUACAUGAUUUGAGUUCAGACCGGUGUGAGCCAGGUCGGUUUCUAUCCUUAUUUUUUUGUAAGUUAGUACGAAAGGACCAUUUACAAUAAUUAAAUUAUUAAUUUUGAUUAAAAUUA
rnacentral:rRNA from 1 species